UUGUAAUUUGAAAAAGAAAAGAGCACAAGUUUUUUGUGAAAGCGGGUGCCCAAUUAACUGAAGUGCCAGAGGUUGGACAAUGGGAAGGAUCAAAACGGAUGUCCCUGAUGGCAAACUCCUUCAUGAGAAUCUAUGAAGUUCCUAGAUGUCCUAAUCUAUUGACUUUAUUUCUUGGCGAUAAUCGUGGUUUGUGGGGGAUAAUUGAUGGUUUCUUUCGGUUUAUGGAUAAACUAACUGUUCUAGACCUCUCUCGCACUUGUACAAGGGAAUUGCCGGUGGGAAUAUCAAAAUUGAUUUUAUUGCAAUAUCUUAAUUUGUCAAGGACAUUUAUAGAGCAAUUGCCAGUUGAGUUGAAAAU
rnacentral:misc_RNA from 1 species